CAAAUGUAUUAGGAGUUGUAAA
rnacentral:snRNA from 1 species